UACGAAGGGUGCAAGCGUUGUUCGGAUUUACUGGGCGUAAAGGGCGGGUAGGCGGCCACCGCAAGUCAGUUGUGAAAUCUCUGGGCUUAACCCAGAAAGGUCAACUGAUACUGCGGGGCUAGAGUGCAGAAGGGGCAACUGGAAUUCUCGGUGUAGCGGUGAAAUGCGUAGAUAUCGAGAGGAACACCUGCGGCGAAGGCGGGUUGCUGGGCUGACACUGACGCUGAACUGCGAAAGCUAGGGGAGCAAACAGG
rnacentral:rRNA from 1 species